CUUCUCCUCCCCGACGCCCCACACAUGAACUCCUCUGUUUCCUCCUACAUGAAACAGAGGUGCUGCAGCCCUAGCUGCUGUAGCUAUCUCUCUUUCCUCUCCCUCUUCCCUCUCUUCUUCUUCUUCUUCUUUUCUUCUCUUCUCCCUCAACUUCUCUUCUUCUUCUCCCCACGCCCCACCGCUCCUCUCUCUGUUUCUC
rnacentral:lncRNA from 1 species